UACGUAGGGUGCAAGCGUUGUCCGGAAUUAUUGGGCGUAAAGAGCUCGUAGGCGGUUUGUCGCGUCUGCUGUGAAAACUCAGGGCUUAACCCUGAGCCUGCAGUGGGUACGGGCAGACUAGAGUGUGGUAGGGGAGAUCGGAAUUCCUGGUGUAGCGGUGGAACGCGCAGAUAUCAGGAGGAACACCGGUGGCGAAGGCGGAUCUCUGGGCCAUAACUGACGCUGAGGAGCGAAAGCAUGGGGAGCGAACAGG
rnacentral:rRNA from 1 species